rnacentral:rRNA from 1 species
UGAGGAAUAUUGGGCAAUGGAGGCAACUCUGACCCAGCCAUGCCGCGUGAGUGAAGAAGGUUUUCGGAUUGUAAAGCUCUUUCGGAUGUGACGAUGAUGACGGUAGCAUCUAAAGAAGCCCCGGCUAACUUCGUGCCAGCAGCCGCGGUAAUACGAAGGGGGCAAGCGUUGUUCGGAAUUACUGGGCGUAAAGGGAGUGUAGGCGGUUUAGUAAGAUAGUGGUGAAAUCCCAGGGCUUAACUUUGGAAUUGCCAUUAUAACUAUUAGACUAGAAUUACAGAGAGGAUAGUGGAAUACCCAGUGUAGAGGUGAAAUUCGUAGAUAUUGGGUAGAACACCAGUGGCGAAGGCGACUAUCUGGCUGUACAUUGACGCUGAGGCUCGAAAGCAUGGGGAUCAAA